CAGUCGCCGCGGGAAUACGGAGGAUCCGAGCGUUAUCCGGAAUUAUUGGGUUUAAAGGGUGCGUAGGCGGAUAGAUAAGUCAGUGGUGAAAGACGGUGGCUCGACCAUCGCAGUGCCGUUGAUACUGUUUAUCUUGAAUAUGGAUGAGGUAGGCGGAAUGUGGCAAGUAGCGGUGAAAUGCAUAGAUAUGCCACAGAACACCGAUUGCGAAGGCAGCUUACCAAGGCAAAAUUGACGCUGAGGCACGAAAGCGUGGGGAUCGAACAGGAUUAGAUACCCCAGUAGUCCCUGUCUCUUAUAC
rnacentral:rRNA from 1 species